GAUGAAGAACGUAGCGAAAUGCGAUAAGUAGUGUGAAUUGCAGAAUUCAGUGAGUCAUCGAAUCUUUGAACGCACAUUGCGCCCCUUGGUAUUCCAUGGGGCAUGCCUGUUCGAGCGUCAUUUGUACCCUCAAGCUUUGCUUGGUGUUGGGUGUUUGUCCCGCGCUCUUUUGCGCAAGACUCGCCUUAAAUCAAUUGGCAGCCGGCAUGUUAGCCUGGAGCGCAGCACAUUUUGCGCCCCUUGCUUGCUUGUGUUGGCCCCCAUCAAGUCCAUAUAUUUGCUCUUGACCUCGGAUCAGGUAGGGAUACCCGCUGAACUUAAGCAUAUCAAUAAGCGGAGGA
rnacentral:misc_RNA from 1 species